AAAGUACUCCCACCGUCCCAAAAUUCUUGUCUUAGAUUUGUCUAGAUACGGAUGUAUCAAGUCACAUUUUAGUAUUAGAUACCUCCGUAUCUAGACAAAUCUAAGACAAGAAAUUUGGGACAGAGGGAGUAGUUG
rfam:Triticum aestivum genome assembly, contig: Triticum_aestivum_CS42_TGACv1_scaffold_255732_3DL